AGCGAGAGGUGAGCUGGCAUAGGGUGUAGGGUUUUGGAAAAAACGGUUAGAAAUGAGGGAUGGAGGGAGGUUUAUUNGAUUGGGGAUCAUCUAUCAGCAGAGGAGGAGGAGCUAGCAAAAAGGAGAGGUAACCAUCAUCGCCGGUAAAAAGCCUACAAGACUCCGGGGAGGUAAGUGUAUUUUGUUCACACUGUUUAUGCUUACUGCAUUGCAUCUUACGCCUGAUAUCAUUGGGCCUGAAUGUGAAUAUGAUGUGAAUAUCCUUGUUCCUUCAUCAUCAUCCCAAGAGCUCAUCAUGAAAUGAAUUUCUAUCCGUAUGAUAAUGGCCAUCAUCAUUAGCCUGGCUAUGCUACGAUGUCUCUUCAAUCCGCUGCCUUCCUCCCUCACCACCCUAUUCGAAUUAUUCCAGACUUGUUAUCACAUCCCCUAUCACCAUCAAUCCUCACAUAUAACACUCCAAUAACGACCAUCAUUAACUCAAUGACUUCACCUUCACCAUGUUUCUAGGAUCAUCAAUGAACCAUCAUUCCCUCCAUGACCCAACGNUGUUUACCUGCAAGAAAAGGAACCAGCCAAAUAUACAAAUGCAAGCCACAGAAAUACGGCCAUAACCCAAAAAUACAGUUUCCAAUCCCUCAUCAUCAUCCAUUCGAACCCACCCAAAAAAUAGAAUGAAACAGGGGUAGUGAAACCCCUCUGUCUGGUACAAAAAUCACAAAUCCAUUCCAC
rnacentral:lncRNA from 1 species